rnacentral:rRNA from 1 species
UCAUUUAAAGAAAGCGUAAUAGCUCACUGGUCGAGUCGGCCUGCGCGGAAGAUGUAACGGGGCUAAACCAUGCACCGAAGCUGCGGCAGCGACACUGUGUGUUGUUGGGUAGGGGAGCGUUCUGUAAGCCUGCGAAGGUGUGCUGUGAGGUAUGCUGGAGGUAUCAGAAGUGCGAAUGCUGACAUAAGUAACGAUAAAGCGGGUGAAAAGCCCGCUCGCCGGAAGACCAAGGGUUCCUGUCCAACGUUAAUCGGGGCAGGGUGAGUCGACCCCUAAGGCGAGGCCGAAAGGCGUAGUCGAUGGGAAACAGGUUAAUAUUCCUGUACUUGGUGUUACUGCGAAGGGGGGACGGAGAAGGCUAUGUUGGCCGGGCGACGGUUGUCCCGGUUUAAGCGUGUAGGCUGGUUUUCCAGGCAAAUCCGGAGAAUCAAGGCUGAGGCGUGAUGACGAGGCACUACGGUGCUGAAGCAACAAAUGCCCUGCUUCCAGGAAAAGCCUCUAAGCAUCAGGUAACAUCAAAUCGUACCCCAAACCGACACAGGUGGUCAGGUAGAGAAUACCAAGGCGCUUGAGAGAACUCGGGUGAAGGAACUAGGCAAAAUGGUGCCGUAACUUCGGGAGAAGGCACGCUGAUAUGUAGGUGAAGCGACUUGCUCGUGGAGCUGAAAUCAGUCGAAGAUACCAGCUGGCUGCAACUGUUUAUUAAAAACACAGCACUGUGCAAACACGAAAGUGGACGUAUACGGUGUGACGCCUGCCCGGUGCCGGAAGGUUAAUUGAUGGGGUCAGCGCAAGCGAAGCUCUUGAUCGAAGCCCCGGUAAACGGCGGCCGUAACUAUAACGGUCCUAAGGUAGCGAAAUUCCUUGUCGGGUAAGUUCCGACCUGCACGAAUGGCGUAAUGAUGGCCAGGCUGUCUCCACCCGAGACUCAGUGAAAUUGAACUCGCUGUGAAGAUGCAGUGUACCCGCGGCAAGACGGAAAGACCCCGUGAACCUUUACUAUAGCUUGACACUGAACACUGGUCCUUGAUGUGUAGGAUAGGUGGGAGGCUUUGAAGUGUGGACGCCAGUCUGCAUGGAGCCGUCCUUGAAAUACCACCCUUUAAUGGCUGGUGUUCUAACGUUGGCCCGUAAUCCGGGUUGCGGACAGUGUCUGGUGGGUAGUUUGACUGGGGCGGUCUCCUCCUAAAGAGUAACGGAGGAGCACGAAGGUUGGCUAAUCCUGGUCGGACAUCAGGAGGUUAGUGCAAUGGCAUAAGCCAGCUUGACUGCGAGCGUGACGGCGCGAGCAGGUGCGAAAGCAGGUCAUAGUGAUCCGGUGGUUCUGAAUGGAAGGGCCAUCGCUCAACGGAUAAAAGGUACUCCGGGGAUAACAGGCUGAUACCGCCCAAGAGUUCAUAUCGACGGCGGUGUUUGGCACCUCGAUGUCGGCUCAUCACAUCCUGGGGCUGAAGUAGGUCCCAAGGGUAUGGCUGUUCGCCAUUUAAAGUGGUACGCGAGCUGGGUUUAGAACGUCGUGAGACAGUUCGGUCCCUAUCUGCCGUGGGCGCUGGAGAACUGAGGGGGGCUGCUCCUAGUACGAGAGGACCGGAGUGGACGCAUCACUGGUGUUCGGGUUGUCAUGCCAAUGGCACUGCCCGGUAGCUAAAUGCGGAAGAGAUAAGUGCUGAAAGCAUCUAAGCACGAAACUUGCCCCGAGAUGAGUUCU